GGCGGACGGGUGAGUAAUAUAUAGUUAACCUGCCCUCGAGAAAGGAAUAACAGUUGGAAACGACUGCUAAUGCCCUAUAUGCCUUUAAGACAUAAGUCUACAAGGGAAAUGCUUUUGUGCUCGAGGAUGGGACUGUACGGUAUCAGAUAGUUGGUGGGGUAAUGGCCUACCAAGUCAAUGACGCCUAACUGGUUUGAGAGGAUGAUCAGUCACACUGGAACUGAGACACGGUCCAGACUCCUACGGGAGGCAGCAGUGGGGAAUAUUGCACAAUGGAGGAAACUCUGAUGCAGCAACGCCGCGUGGAGGAUGACACAUUUCGGUGCGUAAACUCCUUUUAUAUAGGAAGAUAAUGACGGUACUAUAUGAAUAAGCGCCGGCUAACUCCGUGCCAGCAGCCGCGGUAAUACGGAGGGCGCAAGCGUUACUCGGAAUCACUGGGCGUAAAGAGCGUGUAGGCGGAUAGAUAAGUCAGAAGUGAAAUCCUAUGGCUCAACCAUAGAACUGCUUUUGAAACUGUUUAUCUAGAGUGUGGGAGAGGUAGAUGGAAUUUCUGGUGUAGGGGUAAAAUCCGUAGAGAUCAGAAGGAAUACCGAUUGCGAAGGCGAUCUACUGGAACAUAACUGACGCUGAGACGCGAAAGCGUGGGGAGCAAACAGGAUUAGAUACCCUGGUAGUCCACGCCCUAAACGAUGUACACUAGUUGUUGUGAGGCUUGACCUUGCAGUAAUGCAGUUAACACAUUAAGUGU
rnacentral:rRNA from 1 species